rnacentral:rRNA from 1 species
GACGAACGCUGGCGGCGUGCUUAACACAUGCCAGUCGAACGGAAAGGCCCAGCUUUCUGUGUACUCGAGUGGCGAACGGGUGAGUAACACGUGCGUGAUCUGCCCUGCACUCUGGGAUAAGCCUGGGCAACUGGGCGUAAUACCUGAUAUGAACUUACAUCGCAUGGUGUUUGGUGGAAAGCUUUUGCGGUUCAGGAUGGGUCCGCGGCCUAUCCGCUUUGUGGUGGGGUAAUGGUAUACCAACGCGACGACGGGUAGCCGACCUGGGAGGGUCAUCGGCCACACUGGGACUGAGAGACGGCGCAGAAGGCUACGGGAGGCAGCAGUGGGGAAUAUUGCACAAUGGGGGCAAGCCUGAUGCAGAGACGCCGCGUGCGGGAUGACGGCCUUCGGGUUGUAAACAUCUUUCACCAGGGACGAAGCGUGCGUGACGGUACCUGGAGAAGAAGCACCGGCUAACUACGUG